rnacentral:sRNA from 1 species
GAUUUGGAUAUUUAUGAAUAUAUUCGCCAUUAUAUGGUUGAUCACAGAAUGCUUUCAGAUAUAAAUAUUUUAACAGGUGUCAUAUUUACAGAAAAGAAAGUUGCAAUUUUAUUCAAUGACAAACGAAAAUAUAUUGUACCAAAUGGUCUUGCCCAUUUAAUGAAUUCUCUUGCUUUUGGAUUUGUGGGUCCUGAUACAAAAAUUAUUGUUAAAAUGGAGCUGUUGCAGUUUUCUACUGUUCAAGGUCCAAUUGCUCAAAACAAUGUCAAUAGUAUUAAUUUGGUUUUAGCUACUUCAAUAAACUUCUGUUUUUGCUUUAUCUGGACAUUUCCCCUUCUGUUUAUCAACUUAAAUAAGAGUAGUCGUCCUUACAAUACAGAAUUAUGUGCAGGGAUGCGAAUAAGCGUUCUUAUAUUGGCCUUUUUCAUAUAUGAUUCACUUUCUUCUAUGCUUGGUCUAAUCCCAUUGAAUAUUUCCAUUCUUUUUUUUCAAUGGGAUGCACUAAUGGAUAGUGAAAUAUUUUUGCUAUGUCAUUUCUGGGAUUGGUAUAUGUGUCCUUAGUAUAAAUAUAUUAAUAUCGCUUCGUUUUACGGAUCUACAAAACUGCUAUAUGAAAACUGUCACAUUUUAUUCAUUCGGA